rnacentral:rRNA from 1 species
GACGAACGCUGGCGGCGUGCUUAACACAUGCAAGUCGAACGGAAAGGCCCUGCUUUUGUGGGGUUCUCGAUUGCCGAACGCGUGAGUAACACGUGAGUAACCUGCCCUUGACUUUCGGAUAACUUCACGAAACUGGGGCUACUACCGUAUAGGAUCUCCUGCUGCAUGGUGGGCGUUGGAAAGUUUCGGCGGUUGGGGAUGGACUCGCGGCUUAUCAGCUUGUUGGUGGGGUAGUGGAUUACCCAGCCUUUGACGGGUAGCCGGCCUGAGAGGGUGAACGGCGACAAUGGGACUGAGAGACGGCGCAGACGCGUACGGGAGGCAGCAGUGGGGAAUAUUGCACAACGGGCGGAAGCCGGAGGCAGCAACGCCGCGUUCGGGAAGACGGCCUUUGGGUUGUAAACCGCUUUCGCCUGUGACGAAGCGUGAGUGACGGUAAUGGGUAAAGAAGCACCGGCUAACUACGUG